UGGGGAAUUUUGCACAAUGGGGGAAACCCUGAUGCAGCGACGCCGCGUGAUUUAGAAGGCCUUCGGGUUGUAAAAAUCUUUUCUAUGGGAAGAAAAUGACAGUACCAUAGGAAUAAGGACCGGCUAAUUACGUGCCAGCAGCCGCGGUAAUACGUAAGGUCCGAGCGUUGUCCGGAAUCAUUGGGCGUAAAGGGUACGUAGGCGGGUAAGCAAGUUAGAAGUGAAAUCCUAUAGCUCAACGAUAGUAAGCUUUUAAAACUGCUCAUCUUGAGGUAUGGAAGGGAAAGUGGAAUUCCUAGUGUAGCGGUGAAAUGCGCAGAUAUUAGGAGGAAUACCGGUGGCGAAGGCGACUUUCUGGCCAUAACCUGACGCUGAGGUACGAAAGCGUGGGUAGCAAACAGG
rnacentral:rRNA from 1 species